rnacentral:rRNA from 1 species
GACGAACGCUGGCGGCGUGCCUAAUACAUGCAAGUAGAACGCAGUUGCGAACGGGUGAGUAACGCGUAGGUAACUGCCUCAUAGCGGGGGUUAACUAAUGGAUACGUUAGCUAAUACCCCCUACUGUGAUAUGGACCUGCGUUGUAUUAGCUAGUUGGUGAGGUAAAGGCUCACCAAGGCGACGGUACAGAGCCGACCUGGGAGGGGGAUCGGUCAAAAUGGGAAUGAGAAAAGGCCCAGACUCCUACGGGAGGGAGCAGUAGGGAAUCUUCGGAAAUGGACGGAAGUCUGGCCGAGGAAAGCAGGGGGAGUGAAGAAGGUUUUCGGAGUGGAAAGCUAUGUUGUUAGGGAAGCGGUAACUAACCAGAAAGGGACGGCUAACUACGUGCCAGCAGCCGCGGUAAUAC